rnacentral:tRNA from 1 species
GGGCCUAUAGCUCAGUCGGUUAGAGCGCAUCCCUGAUAAGGAUGAGGCCGGUGGUUCAAGUCCACCUAGGCCCACC